rnacentral:rRNA from 1 species
AUUGAACGCUGGCGGCAGGCCUAACACAUACAAGUCGAGCGAGCGGCGGACGGGUGAGCAAUGACUGGGAAACUGCCGGAUGGAGGGGGAUAACUACUGGAAACGGUAGCUAAUACCGCAUACCAUAAGAUGUGACCAGAGGGGAUUAGCGAGUAGGUUGGGUAACGGCUCAACUAGGCGACGAUCCCUAGCUGGUCUGAGAGGAUGACCAGCCACACUGGAACGGAUACACGGUCCAGACUCCUACGGGAGGCAGCAGUGGGGAAUAUUGCACAAUGGGCGCAAGCCUGAUGCAGCCAUGCCGCGUGUGUGAAGAAGGCCUUCGGGUUGUAAAGCACUUUCAGCGGGGAGGCGUUACCCGCAGAAGAAGCACCGGCUAACUCCGUGCCAGCAGCAGCGGUAAUUC